rnacentral:lncRNA from 1 species
AAUUUUUAUUUGGUCUCUUGUUGCUUAUGUUACUGAGUUUCUUAAAGGAAAUGAUUGUUCCAGUGCUUUAUGGUUUAUUUGAGCUUUAUUUUGGGGGAAAGGUUCCAACUUUCCCUUCUCUCAAAAAUAAAACUCAUAAACACACCAUUAGUUAAUAAAAAUCAUAAACACACCAUUAGUUAAUAAAAAUCAUAAACACACCAUUAGUUAAUAAAAAUCAUAAACACACCAUUAGUUAAUAAAAAUCAUAAACACAGAGAGAUAAAGAGAGAUAUGGGG